GCCCUUCAAAAACCGCCGUUCAGGCGUUACAUAGGGAGCGCCGGUUUCGGCCGGCUAUGGCGAUAAAGGACUCGUGCAAUAAGCGCAUCGGACCCGGGGGCGGUACCCGGCGGCUCCACCAAAGCCUCUCCCCGUCUGCGGCCGGGGGAUUUCGGCGGGGCCGAAAUAGGAUCGACGAGCGUGUAAAGACGAGAUCUUCGCCCGGAUGGCCUCCGUUAUUGGGCCGCUCCAAAUAGUUGCCAACGACAACUAUCGGGAAGAGCUCGCUCUCGCUGCGUAAUGCGGCUGAGCUGCUCGCUUUGAAGUCCUAGCCCCCUUCCAGGGCCAGGCGGGGUUCGGGAGCACCUGGCAACAGAAGCUCCCACU
rnacentral:tmRNA from 1 species